UACGUAGGGUGCAAGCGUUGUCCGGAAUUAUUGGGCGUAAAGAGCUCGUAGGCGGUUUGUCGCGUCUGCUGUGAAAACUCGGGGCUUAACCCCGGGCCUGCAGUGGGUACGGGCAGACUAGAGUGCGGUAGGGGAGACUGGAAUUCCUGGUGUAGCGGUGAAAUGCGCAGAUAUCAGGAGGAACACCGGUGGCGAAGGCGGUUCUCUGGGCCUUACCUGACGCUGAGGAGCGAAAGCGUGGGGAGCAAACAGG
rnacentral:rRNA from 1 species